rnacentral:rRNA from 1 species
UACGUAUGGUGCAAGCGUUGUCCGGAUUUACUGGGUGUAAAGGGAGCGCAGGCGGAAGGCUAAGUCUGAUGUGAAAGCCCGGGGCUCAACCCCGGUACUGCAUUGGAAACUGGUCAUCUAGAGUGUCGGAGGGGUAAGUGGAAUUCCUAGUGUAGCGGUGAAAUGCGUAGAUAUUAGGAGGAACACCAGUGGCGAAGGCGGCUUACUGGACGAUAACUGACGCUGAGGCUCGAAAGCGUGGGGAGCAAACAGG